GGGGUGAUAUAUCAGUUGGGAGAUAGCACGACUGAAGUAAUUAACUUCAGCUACUGAUUAUAUCGUGAGGUCAUCGGUUCGAUCCCGAUUCAUCCCA
rnacentral:tRNA from 1 species